rnacentral:lncRNA from 1 species
CCAGAAGAUUUUGAAAAUUAAAUAUUACUGAAGAUUUCGACUUCCACUGUUAAAUGUACAAGAUACAUGAAAUAUUAAAGAAAAUGUGUAACUUUUUGUGUAAAUACAUCUUGUCUUGUUUUCAUUCAAAAACAUUUCACUUUUGGGGUUGCGUGUCAGAUUUGGCAGUAUAAAUUCUGGCUAUAUUUUUUGUUGUUAGAUUUAUUUGGCUGUUAAGUAUUGCGAUAUGACUAAACAUACUGUAUACCUGAUGAUCAUCUGUAAAGUUAGAGUAUAUCUUUUUGCUUUCUUUGGAGUUAGUGUUAUUCCAGGAUAUUUUACUUAAUCUAAAAGUUAAUUUAUGUUGCUCAUAUAUUACUCAAGUAUUUAAAUUUAGAGAGAAUGCCGCUCUGUUUAAAGCAAUGUGUAAAGAUGAGUUUUUUUAAGCAUGGAAUUUAGGGUUGGGGUACAAUUUGUUUCUAUUAAGCAAGUACCAGUUUACCAAUACAUGAGUAACUGAAGUGUAACUGUUAAAUGCUUGUAUACUAGUUUUUCUUUCUGAUUGUCAGUGAUUUAUAAGCUAUAAAUGACCAAGGUCCUCAGACUGCUUUUAGCAUCUGCAACUUAAAAAAAUGGGAGUUAGAAAAAGAACAAAUGCUAAAUAGAGUAACAGUUAAAUGUAUGUGUACACUCUUCCCAAAUGCCAAGAGUGCAGCGGUGGGGUGAGAUUCAGAUAUUCAUUUAUUUCUAAGUCUGUAGUUAACAUUUAUGUUCCCUACUCCCUACGUAAGCCAGACUUUGGCAACAGUGAUAGUUGAUUCCAGGCUUAUUUGACUUAAAGUCACUGAAGUGGAAACUAAGAAGUGGCAGUUAGUGUUUUACCCAGCAUUUCUGCCUUCUCUCUUUUCUUCAUGUGUUUUUGUCUCUAGCCUAUGUGUAUUUGUGUAGAAUAAUGUGGGAUACCUGAAUAAUAGAUUUAAAAGGACCAAGUGGUAAAAUUGGGCCCAAGCUGAAGUACAGGCAAACUUGAUGUUUGAAAGAUAAGUUUUGAGAAAUGUCAUUGUAUUUUGGAGUAAAAGAGGCUAUCUUAGUAAUAAGAAAUAAACUUCCAUAACACUAGGUUAGACCACCCAAUAAAUCUAGAAAUCAGCUUUUAAAAAUAUUGUCUGAAGUCUAACAAAAGUUUUCACCUCUAAUGUGUUCUUUAAGAAAUUUAAGGAACUUAGCCUUGGAUUCCUGAAUAGAAAGGUAAGAAUUCUAUCAUUCUGGGAAAAAAUGGGUCAACUUUUUUUUUUUUUUUUGGCGUUUGCAUGUACAACUUUCUAUUUUUAGCCUAUAUUUGGAAAGAAAGCACUUAACAUUUUAGGAAUUCUUUUUAAAGCUGCUUGCAAAGUGUUGGUGAUUUUACUGAAAACUUUUGAGAUCUUCAUUUUACAGGCAGACCUGUCUAACUACAAGCCAGACUUGGGUUUUCUCCUGUAGUUUGAAGACACACUGACUCCUGACAAAAUGCAGCCUGCAACUUCCUGGAGAACAACUCAGUGUCACAUUAAAGUUUAUUAUGUAUUUAAUGAUACACUGUUUAAUUGACAGUUUUGCAUAGUUUGUCUAACUUUAGAGAAUUAAGAGCCUCUCAACUGAGCAGUAAAGGUAAGGAGAGCUCAAUCUGCACAGAGCCAGUUUUUAGUGUUUGAUGGAAAUAAGAUCAUCAUGCCCACUUGAGACUUCAGAUUAUUCUUUAGCUUAGUGGUUGUAUGAGUUACAUCUUAUUAAAGUCGAAAUUAAUGUAGUUUUCUGCCUUGAUAACAUUUCAUAUGUGGUAUUAGUUUUAAAGGGUCAUUAGGAAAAUGCACAUAUUCCAUGAAUUUUAAGACCCAUAGAAAAGUUGAAGAAUGCUUAAUUUUCUUAUCCAGUAAUGUAAACACAGAGACAGAACAUUGAGAUGUGCCUAGUUCUGUAUUUACAGUUUGGUCUGGCUGUUUGAGUUCUAGCGCAUUUAAUGUUAAUAAAUAAAAUACUGCAUUUUAAAGCUGUUAAGAAAUUGUCCAGAACGAGAAUAUUGAAAUAAAAACUUCAAGGUUAU